AUUUCCUCAGGCUCAGGCUGGCCAGGAGAGGCUGACAUACAACUUUUCUUUAGGUCCAGGGUCACCACUUCCUCUAGAAGCAGAGGGAGCAGCACAGCCUCCUAGGUCUUGCACUCUGCACAUAAACCUGCUUCACAAGCAGCUCACGGGGCUGCAGCCUUCACAGGGCCAUCCAUCUCCUGUCUGCCUUUGCCUCUCCCAGAGCUGUUGAGGGAAAAGGUGCUCAGGAAGCAGUUUCAACCAGAUUGUGCCUUCUGUUGCUUUUUCUCUGGUAAUCAGACAGCUACACCAAUAAUCAUGUCCUUACAACCCUGGCUCCUGCUUAUCACAGGCUUGUCUGGGAAGGAGAGCUUGCUGUGCCCUGUUCACUCAGCCAUCCUCUGUGAUUAAUGUCUCCCUACCUGAGCCUGCACAGCUUUCCCUGGGAGGCACUGAAGCUGCUGCAUGUGCAAUGUUUUGGGCCCACUGGAAGAUGGGUAUGAAUGAUGAUUACUAGGUAAGUCCAGGGUGCUAUGAAAAUGUCCAUGAGUGACUAAAAUUUACACAAAAUUUAUUUUAAGUGUGCUUAGAUUAUGCUUCAUUUAAGCUUCUUCCUCAUUCACAGGCAUCAGGUCAAGUCUUCCACUGUGUCCAUCUGGAGAGACAGAUCCAUUGUGUCUGGAGAAGUGUUGUUGAUACUCAGAGACUGUAUUUAUGUCACUGCUAUUAUAUCUAUGGGCUCAUUCAGCCCUGGACCAUGUCAGAUUAUCUAAUGAAGCACAGUGAAGAAAUGGCAAAUUUGAAAAUUCAUCUGCUAAAAGAAACUCCAUGGUCACACAAUGGUGAGACCCUUGCUCCCACUAUCAGCUUGGGAUGGAUUUCAAUGAUCAGAGGCAGGCCAAAAUCAUCUUGAAAUCAUCUAAGUGCAAUAAGUUGUGUUUGGGAUUCCACUGACCAAGGGGGCUCCCAGAGCUCACUCUUUCACUUAAACAGCAUCUGGUCACCUCUUGUUCUUCUUUUUAGCAGAUCUGCCAGACUUGAUUGAGUUGUUUGCAUUAGGACUCCUGACAAGACCAGGUCUGGCAAAGCCCUUUUGGCCUACAGGCAGUUGCAAGGAGGUGGAGAAUGUCCAAAGGACAACAAACUCUGCAUGAUUUGUGUUCUAGAUUCCUCCCUCUGUCUCUCCAUCCCUCUCCCAUGGGGGAGCAGACACUAAUCAUUGCCUGCAGCACUGGGUGAUUAAUUCAAAUGAUUUAGCACCUGGGGAUUAACCUUCACACAGAGAUCGAUGUUUUGGCUGUUUCCUACAUUAUUACCCUUACAGCAAUUACCUCCCACAGAUACUUGCUCUUGUGCUAAUGAGCCAGAAGCUAUUAGCAUCCACAUCCGCUAUCUACAUGUUUUAUAGUUGCAGGAGGGUUCUUUCUUGAUGACCACAACUUCUAAACAGGUAAAUUUACAAUAUGAGUAGAAAAGACUUUUCUGAAGACACUUUUGGAAGGAAAAAAGAAUAGGGAAAAUUGUAUUAGC
rnacentral:lncRNA from 1 species